rnacentral:rRNA from 1 species
GGUUAAGCGACUAAGCGUACACGGUGGAUGCCCUGGCAGCCCGAGGCGAUGAAGGACGUGCUAAUCUGCGAUAAGCGACGGUGAGGUGAUAUGAACCGUUAUAACCGGCGAUUUCCGCAUGGGGAAACCCAGCGUGUUUCGACACACUAUCAUUAACUGAAUCCAUAGG